AGCCUUUCGAAUCCGUGCUGAUAUUUCGUCAGACACCAACCCAUUAUGUCUGAUCAGACUUCCAAGAUAAGUGAAGUU
rfam:Schistosoma curassoni strain Dakar, Senegal genome assembly, scaffold: SCTD_contig0020293